AAGCAACCAGCUUAGAACUCAAAAGACUUGACAGUAUUUCACAUCGCCCUAGAGGAGCCUGUCCUACAACCGAUAACCCACGAUCAACCUCACCCGCCUUUGCAACAACAGUCUAUAUACCUCCGUCGCCAGCCCGCCUGAAAACAGAAACAAAGCGAGUACAACAAUUUAUCAUUAAGACGACAGGUCAAGGUGUAACUUAUGGGCUGGGCAGAGAUGGGCUACAUUUCCUAGUAUAGGAAAUACCUAUCCCGCCAUGAAACUUGCGCAAAAAGGUGGAUUUAGCAGUAAGUCAGACAAGAAAAGCCUGCCUGAAACUCGC
rnacentral:rRNA from 1 species